AUUGAACGCUGGCGGAAUGCUUUACACAUGCAAGUCGAACGGCAGCACGGACUUCGGUCCGGUGGCGAGUGGCGAACGGGUGAGUAAUGUAUCGGAACGUGCCCAGGCGUGGGGGAUAACGUAGUGAAAAUUACGCUAAUACCGCAUACGAUCUAUGGAUGAAAGCGGGUGAUCGCAAGACCUCGCGCGCUUGGAGCGGCCGAUAUCAGAUUAGGUAGUUGGUGGGGUAAAGGCCCACCAAGCCAACGAUCUGUAGCUGGUCUGAGAGGACGACCAGCCACACUGGAACUGAGACACGGUCCAGACUCCUACGGGAGGCAGCAGUGGGGAAUUUUGGACAAUGGGCGAAAGCCUGAUCCAGCCAUUCCGCGUGCAGGAUGAAGGCCCUCGGGUUGUAAACUGCUUUUGUACAGAACGAAAAGGUUUCUACUAAUACUAGGAGCUCAUGACGGUACUGUAAGAAUAAGCACCGGCUAACUACGUGCCAGCCGCCGCAGUAA
rnacentral:rRNA from 1 species